UGGGGAAUUUUGGACAAUGGGCGAAAGCCUGAUCCAGCAAUGCCGCGUGUGUGAAGAAGGCCUUCGGGUUGUAAAGCACUUUUGUCCGGAAAGAAAUCCUUGGCUCUAAUACAGUCGGGGGAUGACGGUACCGGAAGAAUAAGCACCGGCUAACUACGUGCCAGCAGCCGCGGUAAUACGUAGGGUGCAAGCGUUAAUCGGAAUUACUGGGCGUAAAGCGUGCGCAGGCGGUUUGCUAAGACCGAUGUGAAAUCCCCGGGCUCAACCUGGGAACUGCAUUGGUGACUGGCAGGCUAGAGUAUGGCAGAGGGGGGUAGAAUUCCACGUGUAGCAGUGAAAUGCGUAGAGAUGUGGAGGAAUACCGAUGGCGAAGGCAGCCCCCUGGGCAAUACUGACGCUCAUGCACGAAAGCGUGGGGAGCAAAACAGGAUUAGAUACCCCUGGUAGUCCACGCCCUAAAACGAUGUCAACUAGUUGUUGGGGAUUCAUUUCCUUAGUAACGUAGCUAACGCGUGAAGUUGACCGCCUGGGGAGUACGGUCGCAAGAUUAAAACUCAAAGGAAUUGACGGGGUCAUAGCUGUUUCCU
rnacentral:rRNA from 1 species